rnacentral:rRNA from 1 species
GAUGAACGCUGGCGGCGUGCCUAAUACAUGCAAGUCGAGCGAACAGACGAGGAGCUUGCUCCUCUGACGUUAGCGGCGGACGGGUGAGUAACACGUGGAUAACCUACCUAUAAGACUGGGAUAACUUCGGGAAACCGGAGCUAAUACCGGAUAAUAUAUUGAACCGCAUGGUUCAAUAGUGAAAGACGGUUUUGCUGUCACUUAUAGAUGGAUCCGCGCCGCAUUAGCUAGUUGGUAAGGUAACGGCUUACCAAGGCGACGAUGCGUAGCCGACCUGAGAGGGUGAUCGGCCACACUGGAACUGAGACACGGUCCAGACUCCUACGGGAGGCAGCAGUAGGGAAUCUUCCGCAAUGGGCGAAAGCCUGACGGAGCAACGCCGCGUGAGUGAUGAAGGUCUUCGGAUCGUAAAACUCUGUUAUUAAGGAAGAACAAAUGUGUAAGUAACUAUGCACGUCUUGACGGUACCUAAUCAGAAAGCCACGGCUAACUACGUG